rnacentral:rRNA from 1 species
UACGUAGGGGGCAAGCGUUGUCCGGAUUUACUGGGCGUAAAGGGUGUGCAGGCGGGCUGUUAAGUGGUGUAUGAAAUAUCCCGGCUCAACCGGGAGAGGUUAUGCCAGACUGGCAGUCUAGAGAGCGAGAGAGGGACGUGGAAUUCCGGGUGUAGUGGUGAAAUGCGUAGAGAUCCGGAGGAACCCCAGAGGCGAAGGCGGCGUCCUGGCUCGCAUCUGACGCUCAGACACGACAGCAUGGGGAGCGAACGGG